UACAUGGGGUGCAAACGUUGCUCGGAAUUAUUGGGCGUAAAGCGCACGUAGGCGGUUUGUUAAGUCGGAUGUGAAAUCCCUCGGCUCAACUGAGGAAGUGCAUCCGAAACUGGCAAGCUUGAGUACGAAAGAGGGUCGCGGAAUUCCCGGUGUAGAGGUGAAAUUCGUAGAUAUCGGGAGGAACACCAGUGGCGAAGGCGGCGAUCUGGGAAGAUACUGACGCUGAGGUGCGAAAGCGUGGGGAGCAAACAGG
rnacentral:rRNA from 1 species